UCUGCAGAACAGCCUUACUACCAAGGCACAAUAUUCUCGGGUGGUGCAAACCAGCGCAGUGUCACUAAAAAGUUAGAUGAUGAUACGUACCAACAUUUUUUUUUUUGCUGGUUCAGUGUUGUGAACUUUUACCACAAGUAGAACUCUACCCUGUGUUGUUUCGAUAAGAGACAGAGGAUGUUUCGCAAAACUUUGUGGCAGGACACAUAGCACUGGCCAGAGGGCUGUCAGAUUUGCAAAACUGGGGGAAAUGUUGCAAACAGGCAGACUGGCGCCAUUGGAGAGCAGUUCCGAAAAACAAACUCCCAGAUACUUCCCACUUUCUGUCAGGCACCCAAACACCCUCCAGUUAUGCUUUUAACAUGCUCCUGCAUCCAAAAGCUGUCUAGCCUCCAGGACCUCAAAGCACUGCCCCAGCAUCUGUGAAAGGUAUCCUAUCGUGGAAAUGUAAUUAAGGAUAAGCUGUUCUUUGGCACCAAGCUUGCUCCAGAGGCCCAAGUCCCACCCCAAACCCAACGCAAUCUUAAGAAGAGGAGGUCUGUUCCAGGACAUUGCAUAGGAAUGUAUGGCUGUGCUGCUGAGUCACCCUGAUGGAAGGAACCUCUGCUAUGCAAAGGAGAGCUGCCAGAAGAGGAACUGGAGCCCUUCCAAUACCUCACAGUCUAGUAGUUAAGCAUUGCCUGAAUUGGGCACCACGGAAUCUUGAGUCCUGUAUUCUUCCAGUCACUAGUUUAUAACUCUUAGCAUUUAAAAAGGCACCUUGUAAACAUUUAUUUCAUUGUUCUUCAUUAUAUAAUUGAGUCAU